CGUGUAGGCGGUUUAACAAGCCUGGUGUGAAAGUCUCUGGCUCAACCGGAGGAUUGCGCUGGGAACUGUUAGACUUGAGUUCAGGAGGGGGAGCUGGAAUUCCUGGUGUAGGGGUGAAAUCUGUAGAUAUCAGGAAGAACACCGGUGGCGAAGGCGAGCUCCUGGCCAUGGACUGACGCUGAGGCGCGAAAGCGUGGGGAGCGAACA
rnacentral:rRNA from 1 species